GACCGAUAGCGCAUAGUACCGUGAGGGAAAGGUGAAAAGAACCCCUGGCGGGGAGUGAAAGAGAACCUGAAACCGUAUGUCUACAAACAGUCGAAGUCUGUAUAUAUAUCAGGACGACGGCGUGCCUAUUGAAGAAUGAACCGACGAGUUACUGUUGCUAGCGAGGUUAAGUGGAAAACAUGGAGCCGCAGCGAAAGCGAGUCUGAACAGGGCGUUCAGUUAGUAAUAGUAGACCCGAAACCGUAGUGAUCUAUCCAUGGCCAGGUUGAAGCACAGGUAAAAUUGUGUGGAGGACCGAACUCGUGAGCGUUGAAAAGCUUUGGGAUGAGUUGUGGAUAGGGGUGAAAUGCCAAUCGAACACGGAGAUAGCUGGUUCUCCCCGAAAUAGCUUUAGGGCUAGCCUCGAGGUAGAGAGUAUAGACGGUAGAGCACUGAUCGGGCUAGGGGCCAUACCGGUUACCGAACCUAGUCAAACUACGAAUGGCUAUACUUAUACUCGGGAGUCAGACAGUGAAUGAUAAGGUCCAUUGUCAAGAGGGAAACAGCCCAGAACACCGACUAAGGUCCCCAAUGUUACACUAAGUGGCGAAGGAUGUGGAAUUUCCAAAACAACCAGGAUGUUGGCUUAGAAGCAGCCACCAUUUAAAGAGUGCGUAAUAGCUCACUGGUCGAGAGACUCUGCGCCGAAAAUGUCCGGGGCUAAAGUGUAAAACCGAAGUCGUGUCAUAUGCAGCAAUGUAUAUGGGUAGGGGAGCGUUCUCAUCGGGCUGAAGCAGUACCGUAAGGAGUUGUGGACUGAUGAGAAGUGAGAAUGUCGGUAUGAGUAGCGAAAAGAAUGGUGAGAAUCCAUUCCACCGAAAGCCUAAGGGUUCCUGAGCAACGAUCGUCGUCUCAGGGUAAGUCGGGACCUAAGCCGAGGCGGAAAAGCGUAGGCGAUGGACAACAGGUUGAAAUUCCUGUACCGGUGUGAAUCGUUUGAUCGAUGGAGUGACACAGUAAGGUAGGUCAGCACGCGAUUGGAAGAGCGUGUUUAAGCAGGUAGGUUGAGCUAUAGGCAAAUCCGUAGCUCUAAAAGCUGAGAUGUGAUGACGAGCGACUAGCAAUAGUCGCGAAGUGAUUGAUCCUACACUGUCGAGAAAAGCUUCUAGGUAGAGACACAUCGCCCGUACCAAAACCGACACAGGUAGGCGGGGAGAGAAUCCUAAGGUGCGCGGGAAAACCCUCGUUAAGGAACUCGGCAAAAUGCCUCCGUAACUUCGGGAAAAGGAGGACUCAUGUAGUGUGAAGAGCAGAAGCGCUUGGAGCAUGAAUGAGUGGCACAAGAGAGGCGCAAGCGACUGUUUACCACAAACACAGGUGCCUGCUAAAGCGAAAGCUGAUGUAUAGGUGCUGACACCUGCCCGGUGCUGGAAGGUUAAGAGGAGGGGUUAGACUUCGGUCGAAGCUCUGAAUUGAAGCCCCAGUAAACGGCGGCCGUAACUAUAACGGUCCUAAGGUAGCGAAAUUCCUUGUCGGGUAAGUUCCGACCCGCACGAAAGGUGUAACGACUUGCGCACUGUCUCAACGAGGGACCCGGUGAAAUUGAAGUACCUGUGAAGAUGCAGGUUACCCGCGACUGGACAGAAAGACCCCAUGGAGCUUUACUGCAACCUAAGAUUGAACUUAGUUAAUGAAUGUACAGGAUAGGUGGGAGACUUAGAACCUAGGACGCCAGUUUUAGGGGAGUCGCUGUUGGGAUACCACCCUUUCAUUAAUUGAUUUCUAACGGGCCGAGUAACGACCGGCCGGACAGUCUUAGGCGGGCAGUUUGACUGGGGCGGUCGCCUCCCAAAAGGUAACGGAGGCGCUCAAAGGUUCUCUCAGUACGGUCGGAAAUCGUACGUAGAGUGUAAAGGCAAAAGAGAGCUUGAUUGCAAGACAUACAGGUCGAGCAAGGAUGAAAAUCGGACUUAGUGAUCCGGUGGUUCUGCGUGGAAGGGCCAUCGCUCAACGGAUAAAAGCUACCCUGGGGAUAACAGGCUUAUCUCCCCCAAGAGUCCACAUCGACGGGGAGGUUUGGCACCUCGAUGUCGGCUCAUCACAUCCUGGGGCUGUAGUAGGUCCCAAGGGUUGGGCUGUUCGCCCAUUAAAGUGGUACGCGAGCUGGGUUCAGAACGUCGUGAGACAGUUCGGUCCCUAUCCGUCGCGGGCGUAGGAAAUUUGAGAGGAGCUGUCCUUAGUACGAGAGGACCGGGAUGGACUGACCUCUGGUGCACCAGUUGUUCCGCCAGGAGCACAGCUGG
rnacentral:rRNA from 1 species